GACGAACGCUGGCGGCGUGCUUAACACAUGCAAGUCGAACGAAGUGGCGAACGGGUGAGUAACGCGUAAUCAACCUGCCCUUCAGAGGGGGACACCAGUUGGAAACGACUGCUAAUACCGCAUACUGAGGGAGGGGAUUGCGUCUGAUUAGCUAGUUGGGGGGGUAACGGCCCACCAAGGCGAUGAUCAGUAGCCGGUCUGAGAGGAUGAACGGCCAAAUGGGGACUGGGAAACGGCCCAGACUCCUACGGGAGGCAGCAGUGGGGAAUCUUCCGGAAUGGACGAAAGUCUGAAGGAGCAACGCCGCGGGAGUGAUGACGGCCUUCGGGUUGUAAAGCUCUGUUAAUCGGGACGCGGUACCGGAAUAGAAAGCCACGGCUAACUACGUGCCAGCCGCCGCGGUAAUAC
rnacentral:rRNA from 1 species